GAUGAACGCUAGCGGCAGGCCUAAUACAUGCAAGUCGAACGGGUUGUUGUAGCAAUACAACGAUCAGUGGCGCACGGGUGCGUAACGCGUAUGCAACCUACCUUAAACUGGGGGAUAGCCCGUCGAAAGACGGAUUAAUACCGCAUAAUACUAUUUGAUGGCAUCUGAAGAUAGUUAAAGAUUUAUUGGUUUAAGAUGGGCAUGCGUGCCAUUAGCUAGUUGGUAGUGUAACGGACUACCAAGGCUACGAUGGCUAGGGGUUCUGAGAGGAUGAUCCCCCACACUGGUACUGAGAUACGGACCAGACUCCUACGGGAGGCUG
rnacentral:rRNA from 1 species